GGUUGUAAUCGUUUUGUUAUCAACUCUGACAAUAUGGAAAUGAUUAACACAAUGAAGAAUGGAGAACACUCUGCAGGAGCGGCAACAGCAAUUUUUUAUGACUGUUUUUUUAUAGCUUGUGAUUUUCCUCUUACUAGUUUUGAGCAUUGUAAUAGAAAAGCGAACAAGGUAGCGCAUAAGUUGGCUCGACUAGCAAAAUAUUCCGUUACGAGGGAUUGGAUUGAGGAGCCUAUGGGAAAUAUUGUUGGUUGUGGUUUGGAGUCUUUGGAUGUUCUAGCCAAUGGGCUUGGCAUCCUUUUGGUGAUCUUGCAGAUCAGGUUAGCGCUGAUAGGAUCGUCGAAUCCUAGCUAUCCAAGCCUGUUGCGCUUUCAUUUACAACAUUAG
rnacentral:rRNA from 1 species